UCCUCUCAUUUGGGAAACUUUGCCCUUUCCAUUGGAUUACCUAUACGCAGAUCCUGAGUGCAAGGUACUAAUUCGCAUGCUCAAGCAUUAGUUUACCUACUUGAUAUCUUAUAUUGUAUGCUACAGGGCAUAUGCGACCUAUAUACUGGAAUACUACUCUGCAUUCACAAUGUUUCUGUUAAACUUGUUAUAUUAGGAUCAACAUGAUUGAUAGUGUAGUAGUAAAAACUUCCAAUCAUUUGCAGGUCAGUACAUGUGGGUUUCCUCCUUGGAGGAUUGAAAAGCAUCACUUUAUUAGGAUCAACGUGAUUGAUAGUGUAGUAGUAAAUCUUUGGUAUCACUCUUGGCAAGUUUUGACUUGUAACCACAUGUUAUUACUGACUCAAGUGUAUAAAUCAUAUUUUGGAAAUCUCAGACUUACUACUAGGUACCAGUUUACAUAUGCAGCUACAUCUGGAUAUAGUUUCAUGAUUUAUUGUGAUUCAUUGUAUUUUAUUAAAAUAUUGGUACUUCUGAAUGCUAAAAUCAUUAUGGGAAAAUGCUAUUUUUUUAGAUCCAAGAAGGAUGCAUAGCCUGUUGGGAAAAAUUCUUGGCUAGGUACUAAUCUACAUCCUUUAUUGUUUAUAGUAUGUCCAUCUAGAGCUUUUAAUUAGUGAACUAAUGCAGGGUUUAUUCAUAACAUCGAAGGUACACUACUUGUAUUGUUAGAUUGCACUCUUGUGUCAAUCGAAAUCAAAUUCAUGUAUAUAAAAUAUCUAAUUAAGUGCAGCAUGCUGGAAACAUACACUGGACCUGAUAGCAGAGGACACAUCUGUUAGGAACAAUUCCUGGCUUCUUGCAUUUGCUUCAACUUCGGUCUACAUAGAAGAGAAGAAUAACCGUGUGUGUUUGUAGAACUGGAACAAAACAUUAGCAAUGUUGUUUCUGAUAGAUACAAUGGAUUAGCUAGUCGUUUAUCAAUGUAGCUUCUUAUCGGUGCAAUGGAUUAGCUAGUUGUGGAUUUAUGAGUUUUCAUUGUCAAUUUAUUUUCAGCAUGCUGAUACUUUGUAAAGUCAGUAUGUACUUUCGACUUUCAAUGAAUAAAGGUUUAUCAUGAUA